UCUCUCUGUCGGCAAGAGAGAUGGUCAGAUGGCAGUUAGCUCAUCUCCUCCCCCCUCCUCAUCGGACGGAAUCUUUUCUCCCCUGCUCCUCCAAAUCCAAGACAAGCGGCAACUAACCCAUCCCCAAGCAAUCCAGCUCCAAUUUCUCCUCACGUCAUUUCCAAUCCAAGCAAGGAGCUGCAUCUCUCCCUUCGCGAGUAGUAGGCACUCGAACCCCCGAGGCGGCACCGGCCAGCAACGGCGGCAUGGCUCCGUGAGCUCCGGCACCACCUCCCUCAACGCACCACGGCAGCCCGCGACGCCAGUGGCACCGGCCGACAGACGGCUCGCGAUGACGCUUGUUUCCCCAGGAGAAGCAAGCCACAAUCCAAUUCCUUCCUCUCGCCAUCGCGUUGACCUCCUGCACCGCCUCCCCCAUGCGUCGCGGCUCCCAUGGUCGGACCGUGAGCCUGGGCGUGCGCCGCCGCCCUCCCUGUCCUGCUGCCGGCGCCAUGGCAGUGGCGCGGCGCGCACCGCGGGUGCUAACCGUCCUACGCGCCACGGGCGGCAAAGCGCGGUGGGACGCGGUGCUGGUGGCGGCUGCGGCGCUGGAAGACCUGCGCCUGGCCAUCGACGAGUGCCCCGAGGGCGUCCCGUCCAGGGAGUGGCCCGACAACUUCUCCCUGCUCAGCUACGCCGAAGAGAUCUUGGGCGGUGACGGCUUACCCCCUCUGGCCAAUCUGGUCGGCGGCGCCAUGGCGGGCCCUACUGGAGGCAGCCGAGACCCGGCGACGUCGCCACCUCACCCCAGCCUCGCUCGAUGUCCUGCACGUCUGUCCUUCCUGGCGGCACGGAGCAGCGGCCCGAACCCCUCGGCGACCUCCCCAUUGACGAGAUCAGGGGCGGCGCGGCUGCUGGUUCGGUUGAGGUCCGCUCGUUGAGCGCGCCGGAAUAUCGAGCGAGCGAAGGGCCUACUGUUCCGGUCGGACAACGGCGCUGCUGCAGGUCGACAACAGCGUCACCUCAGAUCAGGGUGGCGACGGUUCGGAGCUUCUCCAGGGCCAACCGGUCAUCCCCUUUCUCACGCAUCGGAGGAUCCGCCAGCGCGAUAGAGGUGUCGCCGGCCUCAUCACGCGUGCGCGGCGGGGAGGAUGAGACGGCGGAGCUGAGGCGUCGUGCUUGGGUGGGGGUAGGGGCGGCGCACGCGGGAUCAGAUCGAGAGUCCAAGAUUUCGCAGCAAGAUCCGAUCGGCGCGGAGAGGGGAGCCGGCGGGGGCCGCGGGGAGGCGUGUGGGAUCUCAGCGAAGAGGGAAGGGGCGGCGCAAACGGAUGUGGAGGAGCCCCUGGGAUGGCCGCCCCCACGCGGUGCAGGCGGAGGAUGGAGAGCGGAGGGGCGGUGGCGCAGGGAGAGAUGGAGGACGAUGCGGUAUGGGAGAGAUGAAGCAGAGGGGAUCGGAGGGCGAGGGGGCGAGCAACUACAGCACAGAGCACAGACCCUAUAAACAGGUCCUUAUCCCAAGUAAAUUCUUAUCCCAAGUUUAGAGAGAAGUAUAUUCUUAUCUCAAAUUUAGAGAGAGUUAAAUAAAAAAUGCACUCCAGGAUACUCUCUACUAGACCCUCUAUUUUGAUUUUAGUGAGGUCUUCAAAUUCUCUUCUUCAUCCUUUUAGAUUAUUCCUAGAGUGUCUUUUAGAAUUGAGGGCUAUUGCUGGAGUUGAAGCAAAUUUGGAAGUGCAGCUCCCAUUCAGCUCCCAUUUAGGGCCUGUUUAGUUCCACCAAAACGCAAAAACGCAAAAUGCAAAUUUUUACUGUA